GAGAGCAGAGACUGUAGCCGCAUGGUGCCGGCUGAGAAGACCCGUGUGGAGAGUGUGGAGCUGGUCCUGCCUCCCCACGCCAAUCACCAGGGCAACACCUUUGGGGGCCAGAUCAUGGCCUGGAUGGAGAAUGUGGCCACCAUUGCAGCCAGCCGGCUCUGCCGUGCCCACCCUACGCUGAAGACCAUUGAAAUGUUCCACUUCCGAGGCCCGUCCCAGGUCGGCGACCGUCUGGUGCUCAAAGCCAUCGUGAACAAUGCCUUCAAACAUAGGUGAGGGUCUGGGAUGGGUGCGGCCAGGGCCAUUCAGGGCUGAGGGCUCUUCCUGACCCUAGAAAGGACCCUACUUCAAACUGUCCAGGAGCCCUUUGCCCUGCAGACAGGGUCUAAAUCCCUGCCUGGCUGAUGGGUUCCUUCACUGUCUCUGAAAUUCAGCUCUGAUUUUCCCUUUUUGGGAGCCUUCCCUGGCUCCCAGUCCUGCCCACCCAUGGCUGGGUCAGGGACCCCUCCUCUGGGAUCCCCCAG
rnacentral:sRNA from 1 species